UUUGCUCUGGGUGAUGCAAGGGAUCUGAAUGAUGYAGAGAAACAAAUUAUGGAGAACCUGAUACGCAACCUGCCAAUCUAGUCUGAGGAGAUGGGAGCGAAGGAGAAGCAGGGACUACAAACCAGGAGUUCAUCAUGCCCACCUGGUUGGCAUAGUUAUU